rnacentral:lncRNA from 1 species
UCUCCAGUCUCUCUCCAGCUGCUGUCUCUCUCCAGUCUCUCUCCAGUCUCUCUCCAGUCUCUCUCCAGUCUCUCUCCAGUCUCUCUCCAGUCUCUCUCCAGCUGCUGUCUCUCUCCAGUCUCUCUCCAGUCUCUCUCCAGUCUCUCUCCAGUCUCUCUCCAGUCUCUCUCCAGCUGCUGUCUCUCUCCAGUCUCUCUCCAGUCUCUCUCCAGUCUCUCUCCAGUCUCUCUCCAGUCUCUCUCCAGCUGCUGUCUCUCUCCAGUCUCUCUCCAGUCUCUCUCCAGUCUCUCUCCAGCUGCUGUCUCUCUCCAGUCUCUCUCCAGUCUCUCUCCAGUCUCUCUCCAGUCUCUCUCCAGCUGCUGUCUCUCUCCAGUCUCUCUCCAGUCUCUCUCCAGUCUCUCUCCAGACUCUCUCCAGUCUCUCUCCAGACUCUCUCCAGUCUCUCUCCAGUCUCUCUCAUGUCUCUCCAGUCUCUCUCCAGUCUCUCUCCAGACUCUCUCCAGUCUCUCUCCAGUCUCUCUUCAGUCUCUCUCCAGUCUCUCUCCAGUCUCUCUCCAGUCUCUCUUCAGUCUCUCUCUAGUCUCUCCAGUCUCUCUCCAGUCUCUCUCCAGUCUCUCUCCAGUCUCUCUCCAGUCUCUCUCCAGCUGCUGUCUCUCUCCAGUCUCUCUCCAGUCUCUCUCCAGUCUCUCUCCAGUCUCUCUCCAGUCUCUCUUCAGUCUCUCUCCAGUCUCUCUCCAGUCUCUCUCCAGUCUCUCUUCAGUCUCUCUCUAGUCUCUCCAGUCUCUCUCCAGUCUCUCUCCAGUCUCUCUUCAGUCUCUCUCCAGUCUCUCUCCAGUCUCUCUCCAGUCUCUCUUCAGUCUCUCUCCAGUCUCUCUCCAGUCUCUCUCCAGUCUCUCUCUAGUCUCUCCAGUCUCUCUCCAGUCUCUCUUCAGUCUCUCUCCAGUCUCUCUCUAGUCUCUCCAGUCUCUCUCCAGUCUCUCUCCAGUCUCUCUCCAGUCUCUCCAGUCUCUCUUCAGUCUCUCUCUAGUCUCUCCAGUCUCUCUCCAGUCUCUCUCCAGUCUCUCUUCAGUCUCUCUCCAGUCUCUCUCCAGUCUCUCUCCAGUCUCUCUCCAGUCUCUCUUCAGUCUCUCUCCAGUCUCUCUCCAGUCUCUCUCCAGUCUCUCUCCCAGACUCUCUCCAGUCUCUCUCCAGACUCUCUCCAGUCUCUCUCCAGUCUCUCUUCAGUCUCUCUUCAGUCUCUCUCCAGUCUCUCUCUAGUCUCUCCAGUCUCUCUCCAGUCUCUCUCCAGUCUCUCUCCAGUCUCUCUUCAGUCUCUCUCCAGUCUCUCUCCAGUCUCUCUCCAGUCUCUCUCCAGACUCUCUCCAGUCUCUCUCCAGACUCUCUCCAGUCUCUCUCCAGUCUCUCUUCAGUCUCUCUUCAGUCUCUCUCCAGUCUCUCUCUAGUCUCUCCAGUCUCUCUCCAGUCUCUCUCCAGUCUCUCUUCAGUCUCUCUCCAGUAUCUCUCCAGUCUCUCUCCAGUCUCUCUCCAGUCUCUCUCCAGUCUCUCUUCAGUCUCUCUCCAGUCUCUCUCCAGUCUCUCUCCAGUCUCUCUCCAGUCUCUCUUCAGUCUCUCUCCAGUCUCUCUCCAGUCUCUCUCCAGUCUUUCUCCAGUCUCUCUCCAGUCUCUCUCUAGUCUCUCCAGUCUCUCUCCAGUCUCUCUUCAGUCUCUCUCCAGUCUCUCCUCAGUCUCUCUCCAGUCUCUCUUCAGUCUCUCUGUCUUUCUGUCUCUCCUC